rnacentral:rRNA from 1 species
GCUCGACACUUAGCGGCGGACGGGUAGAGUAACGCGUGAGUAACCUGCCUAUCACUGGGGAAUAACGCAUCGAAAGGUGUGCUAAUACCGCAUGAGACCACAAGAUCGCAUGGUCAAGGGGGUCAAAGAUUUAUCGGUGAUAGAUGGGCUCGCGUCUGAUUAGCUAGUUGGUGAGGUUAAACGGCCCACCAAGGCGACGAUCAGUAGCCGACCUGAGAGGGUGAUCGGCCACAUUGGAACUGAGAAACGGUCCAAACUCCUACGGGAGGCAGCAGUGGGGAAUAUUGCACAAUGGGGGAAACCCUGAUGCAGCAACGCCGCGUGAGUGAAGAAGUAUUUCGGUAUGUAAAGCUCUAUCAGCAGGGAAGAAAAUGACGGUACCUGACUAAGAAGCCCCGGCUAACUACGUG